ensembl:snRNA U6 U6 spliceosomal RNA
GUGCUCAUUUCAGCAGCACAUAUAUUCAAAUUGGAAUGAUACAGAGAAAAUUAGCACGGUUCCUGCACACGGAUGACAUGCAAAAUCAUGAAGCAUUUUGUUUUCAA